UAGGGAAUAUUGCAAAAUGGGCGAAAGCCCGAUGCAGCAACGCCGCGUGGGCGAUGAAGGCCUUCGGGUCGUAAAGCCCUUUUUGAGGGGAUGAGGAAGGACAGUACCCUCAGAAUAAGCCUCGGCUAACUACGUGCCAGCAGCCGCGGUAAAACGUAGGAGGCGAGCGUUAUCCGGAUUUACUGGGCGUAAAGCGCGUGCAGGCGGAUUGGAGAGUUGGAUGUGAAAGCUCCCGGCUUAACUGGGAGAGGUCGUUCAAUACUUCCAGUCUUGAGUGCAGUAGAGGGAAGUGGAAUUCCGGGUGUAGUGGUGAAAUGCGUAGAUAUCCGGAGGAACACCAGUGGCGAAAGCGGCUUCCUGGACUGUAACUGACGCUCAGACGCGAAAGCGUGGGGAGCAAACA
rnacentral:rRNA from 1 species